AAAAUACAAAUUAUUCUGUUUAAGGAGCCUAUGCUGUAUAUAACUACACACAAGUUAAUGUCUUAAAAGGGUGUUUAUGAUGUCAUACUUCACAUUCUCAGUUGUUCAUGUAUAUUUGGCAUGUGUGUGCUUUUCAGAAUGUUUAGGGCAAGAAGACGACCUAAUUUCAUUCCGAAA